rnacentral:tRNA from 1 species
GCGCCCAUAGCUCAGUUGGAUAGAGCGCCAGCCUUCUAAGCUGGAUGUCGCAGGUUCGAAUCCUGCUGGGCGCGCCA